AUGGCGACGCGGUUCAGCGACGAGGACAUCCAGUCCAUGUUAGAGGAAGGCAUCGACCCACUUCUGGCGGAGAGCCUGAGGAAGCUGCAGUCCAGGGUGAGCGACAUGCUAGAGAACACCACGGAGUUCCCCUCGCUCGCGGCGCUGGACUGGGCGGACGGCGUCGAGACCAGCACCGUCAGGGCCGCCCAGAGCAUCUCAGAGGACGCGGAGGACUACCGCGACGGCGCGGCGAUGGUCGCCGGGAGGCCGGGCGAGGAGGGGCGCGCGGUGGCGGCGACGCUGCGCGACCAUGCCGCGUGGGCGUUCGCGCGGCUCGCCGAGGCCCAGGAGGUCCUGGCCUCCACGCGGCGCCUGCGGGACCGGCAGAUGAGGGAGGUCGUGGCGACGGAGAACCAGAUGGUCCACCACGCGGCCAACGAGUUCCUGCAGUUCGCAGCCAAGGAGGCGGACGGCGGGGGGGUGCCGAGCGGCCUGGAGGCGGGCGACGCGGCGAGGCCCAAGCGGUUCGUCGCGCUGGCGGGCAAGAUCAGGCGGGCCGCGGCGUCGCCGGCGUACGCGGGCGAGGAGGCGCUGGUGGAGGCGCUGCGGAGGCAGGCGGCGGCCGUGGAGGCGCUGUGCGCGGACCCGGACGCGCUGGUGCCGAAGAUGCUGGCCAUGGGGCCGUGGAUGCUCUUCAGGGCUAUGAACGGGAUCCCAUUCCCGCUGGAAGAUGAAACCCAGUGUUGA
rnacentral:rRNA from 1 species